rnacentral:misc_RNA from 1 species
UUUCCGUAGGUGAACCUGCGGAAGGAUCAUUAGUGAAUAAACAAGUGCAGGUUGUGCUUGCCUUCUUGGUAGGUGCACGCCUGCCAACGUUUCAUUCUAUCUUCCCACCUGUGCACUAUGUGUAGAUUCUGUAUGCUAUUGUCAGGCCUUUAUUGAGCGUGGUUGAGAGGAGUUGCUUGUUUUCGCAGACAAGCUCUCCUUGGGCAUGCAGGGUCUAUGUUUAUAUUAACCCCAUAUGAAUGUUAUAGAAUGUGCUUUGGGCUUUUUGGCCUUUAAAUUAUAUACAACUUUCAACAACGGAUCUCUUGGCUCUC